rnacentral:rRNA from 1 species
GACGAACGCUGGCGGCGUGCCUAAUACAUGCAAGUCGAGCGAGACUCUUCGGAGUCUAGCGGCGGACGGGUGAGUAACACGUGGGCAACCUGCCUGUAAGACUGGGAUAACACCGGGAAACCGGUGCUAAUACCGGAUAAUCCUUUUCUUCUCAUGAGGAAAAGCUGAAAGUCGGUUUCGGCUGACACUUACAGAUGGGCCCGCGGCGCAUUAGCUAGUUGGUGAGGUAACGGCUCACCAAGGCGACGAUGCGUAGCCGACCUGAGAGGGUGAUCGGCCACACUGGGACUGAGACACGGCCCAGACUCCUACGGGAGGCAGCAGUAGGGAAUCUUCCACAAUGGACGAAAGUCUGAUGGAGCAACGCCGCGUGAGCGAUGAAGGCCUUCGGGUCGUAAAGCUCUGUUGUUAGGGAAGAACAAGUACCGGAGUAACUGCCGGUACCUUGACGGUACCUAACCAGAAAGCCACGGCUAACUACGUGCCAGCCGCCGCGGUAAGAC